AAGUGCCUUAAAAUGAAAAGAGGCAGCCUUUAUAUAGGCUGCAAAUCCUAAUUCGACUAGGAAUAUAAUUGUAUAGGAAAGAAAUAACUAGAAUAAGGAAAGCAAAUACUAUAGUUGGAAAAGUAAAUAAAUCCUAAUAUUACGACAUUAAUUAAGACUCCUAAAUAAGGAGGCAAUCUGGCAGAAGGGUACUCCAAUGGUAACUGCAGUUCCUGAUUUCUCUACAAUUAUAUUAUAUCCUGCAAUCUGCACUGCUUC
rnacentral:lncRNA from 1 species